rnacentral:rRNA from 1 species
UACGUAGGGUCCGAGCGUUGUCCGGAAUUAUUGGGCGUAAAGAGCUCGUAGGCGGUCUGUCGCGUCGAUCGUGAAAACUUGGGGCUUAACCCUGAGCUUGCGGUCGAUACGGGCAUGACUGGAGUUCGGCAGGGGAGACUGGAAUUCCUGGUGUAGCGGUGAAAUGCGCAGAUAUCAGGAGGAACACCGGUGGCGAAGGCGGGUCUCUGGGCCGAUACUGACGCUGAGGAGCGAAAGCGUGGGGGAGCGAACAGG